rnacentral:tRNA from 1 species
CUCUGCAUAGCAUAACUGGAUAAUGCACUGCACUUCUAAUGCAGGUAAUGUAGGUUCAAGUCCUACUGUGGAGG